GAGCCGGUGGCUUAGUGGUUAAAGCGUCCGCCUCAGAUGCAAAAGGUAGUGGGUUCAAUCCUCGGCCUAGUCAUAACA